UCGAACCCUGCAAAGCAGAACGACCUGUGAACACGUAAAUACAACUGGGUGAUGAGGAGAUGGGCGUUGGUUCUUUUCCUCAACACCACCUGGCGUGCGUGUGUGGUGUCUCUUUUCGGGCACCAUGUAUGUUUCGUCAGACCAAAACAAACCCCGGCACGGAAUGUGCCAAGGAAAACAAAAAAUAAGAAGGACUCGACUAGUUAUGCCCCGUUCGCGGUGUGCUUACAAGUCGUUGCCUCUUUUGAAUCACAAACGACUCUCGGCAACGGAUAUCUCGGCUCACGCAUCGAUGAAGAACGUAGCAAAAUGCGAUACUUGGUGUGAAUUGCAGAAUCCCGUGAACCAUCGAGUUUUUGAACGCAAGUUGCGCCCGAUGCCAUCCGGUUGAGGGCACGCCUGCCUGGGCGUCACGCAUCGCGUCGCUCCCCACCACAUUUCCCUAAUGGGUUCUCAUGGUGCUUGGGGGCGGAUAUUGGCCUCCCGUGCUUUUGGUGUGGUUGGCCUAAAUAGGAGUCCCCUUUCGGUGGAUACACGGCUAGUGGUGGUUGAAUAGACCCUCGUCUUGUGCUGUGUGUUGUGAGCCGUAUAGGAAAUCCUCAUCAAAGACCCCACUGUAUCGUCUUUUGACGAUGCUUCGAC
rnacentral:misc_RNA from 1 species